UACAGAGGGGGCAAGCGUUAUUCGGAAUUAUUGGGCGUAAAGGGCGCGUAGGCGGCCUUGCAAGUGGCGGGUGAAAUCCCUCGGCUUAACCGAGGAACUGCCUGCCAGACUGCAAGGCUCGAGACCGGGAGAGGUAAGUGGAAUUCCCAGUGUAGCGGUGAAAUGCGUAGAUAUUGGGAGGAACACCAGUGGCGAAGGCGGCUCACUGGACCGGAACUGACGCUGAGGCGCGAAAGCGUGGGGAGCAAACAGG
rnacentral:rRNA from 1 species